AGUGAACGCUGGCGGUAGGCCUAACACAUGCAAGUCGAACGGCAGCACAGUAAGAGCUUGCUCUUACGGGUGGCGAGUGGCGGACGGGUGAGGAAUACAUCGGAAUCUACUUUUUCGUGGGGGAUAACGUAGGGAAACUUACGCUAAUACCGCAUACGACCUACGGGUGAAAGCAGGGGAUCUUCGGACCUUGCGCGAUUGAAUGAGCCGAUGUCGGAUUAGCUAGUUGGCGGGGUAAAGGCCCACCAAGGCGACGAUCCGUAGCUGGUCUGAGAGGAUGGUGAGCCACAUGGGAAAUGAGAGACGGUCCGGGCCCCAAGGGGAGGGAGCGGGGGGGAAAUUUGGAAAAGGGGCGAAAGCCUGAUCCAGCCAUACCGGGUGGGUGAAGAAGGCCUUCGGGUUGUAAAGCCCUUUUGUUGGGAAAAAAAAGCAGCGGGUUAAGACCCCGCUGUUCUGAGGGUACCCAAAGAAAAAGCCGCGGCAAACUUCGU
rnacentral:rRNA from 1 species